rnacentral:rRNA from 1 species
UCAUACAAGAGGCCCAAAUCAAUAAUCAUCCGGCGUAAAGAGUGGCUAUAUGUUAUCUACAUUGACUAAGAUCGAAGUUCAACUAAGCUGUCAUAAGCCCAAGAUUCACCUAAGCCCCGUCCCAAAACAUCUUAGUCUAUAUGAUUAAUUAUAAUCCACGAAAGCCAGGGUACAAACUGGGAUUAGAUACCCCACUAUGCCUGGCCAUAAAUUCAGAUACCCUCCCUACUUCCGUAUCCGCCUGAGAACUACGAGCACAAACGCUUAAAACUCUAAGGACUUGGCGGUGCCCCAAACCCACCUAGAGGAGCCUGUUCUGUAACCGAUAAUCCACGAUUCACCCAACCACCCCUUGCCAACGCAGCCUACAUACCGCCGUCGCCAGCUCACCUCCAAUGAAAGAAUAGCAGUGAGCCCAACAGACUUCCCCCUAGCAAGACAGGUCAAGGUAUAGCCCAUGGGGUGGAAGAAAUGGGCUACAUUUUCUAACCUAGAACAUACGAAAAAAACAUGAAACCCGUUCUUAGAAGGCGGAUUUAGCAGUAAAGUGAAACCAUACCCAGUUCACUUUAAGCUGGCUCUGAGCACGUACAUUCCGCCCGUCACCCUUUUCAUAAGCCACUAUCACCAAUAAAUUAUACCCCCCAAGGCUAAAGACGAGGCAAGUUGUAACAA